ensembl:lncRNA
AUGAACUCCUCAAGCAACGUAAGAAACCUUCCCAGGAGUCCAACCAGGAAUCAAAUGGCUCUCUCCUGCUGGCCCCUGGAUAAGGCAUUCCUCGUGGGCAACACGAAGCUUGACUCUGACUUGGGGUCAUUUGCCUACUCCAUUUGCAAAGGUGAAGUGAUCAAAAGGGAUUCUCUCUUCACUUGCGUCCACUGAGGUUAUCAAGUAGGCCAUUGGAGGGAAAAGUGUGAGGCUCUUCUCAAAAUACAUGUUUUCAGGUAAUUGAAAAACAUUUCCUGGAAAGAGAAAUAAGAGCUUGCUCUUCAACAGAGGAAAACAGAUCCAGUCAGAGAAUUGUCUAAGAGAAAGGCAACGCCAAACAGAAUCAGAGACUGGGCUUUCACUCCUGGAUCCCCAAAUACACAACCUGAGGCAAGCCGCUCAACUUCUCUGGGCCUCAGUCUCCUUAUCUGAAUAAUGGAAAUAAUAAUACAAUUCGAGUGGUUGUUGAGAGAAAUAUUGGGGGAACAAUCGCAAAGCGUAGAUCCCAUAAAAUAUGGAGCCAUAAUGGAUGUUCAAUAAGCCUUAGAUGAAUCUAGAACAGUUGCGUCAGUCAUUUGCUUCAAUGAUGAGAUGUGUUAAAUUUGAUUCCAGGGAGACUGAACAUCCAGAUCCUUCUUCUCUUCCCUGAACCGCCCCUACUAUCCAAUAAUCCCAAGGCAAAUCCUCUGUUCUUCUCCUGUAGCAGUUCUGGAGGGUCCAGUGUAGCCACCACGUAGGAUCCUGGUGGCCAACUUCCACUAAGCACUACCACUCAGGAGAGACCUGGGAUCUGGGGGAAGGACCUUGGGGAGAGCUGUUUUUCGUAUUUCUGUAAAUGACUUCAGCACUCAGCAUUGAAGGUCAAGGCAUUAUCAGAAGGUGAUAUGCUAUCAGUUUUGAGUAGAAAAUGAGAAAAAACAAAAGUACAACGGUCACCUUACAUGAAGCAGUAUAUCUGUAGGAAAGAUUGAAGCUUUUUAAAUAUGUUCUUAACAACGGACCUAGAUUUUUAAGAUCACUUCAGGUAUGAUUCUGUGUAGGUUAAAAAGCCCCCACACCAUUCUUUUUGAGCUUAUCGCUGGAAACUUCAGGAAAAUGGGCAUAGGUCAAUCCUUUGGGUAGGUUGGUCCUUGGCAAACCUGAAUUUCCAUUUGGUAAUUCACUGUGUCAAUCAUAAAAAUUUUACAUUAUUUUUCAUUUUUAAAACUAUAAAGUAUUUUCAGUCUCGAAAAUAAGAAGAAAGUACAAACACACCUAAUCGCCACCCAGUUUUUCACCACCCACGUUUCUCUAUCUACUUUAGAUGUUUCUACAUAUAGAAACCUAAAAUAUUAGGGGCGCCUGGGUGGCUCAGUCAUUAAGCGUCUGCCUCUGGCUCAGGGCGUGAUCCCAGGGUCCUGGGAUCGAACCCCGCAUCGGGCUCCCUGCUCUGCUGAGAGCCUGCUUUUUCCUCUCCCACUCCCCCUGCUUGUGUUCCCUCUCUCGCUGGCUGUCUCUCUCUCUGUCAAAUAAAUAAAUAAAAUCUUAAAAAAAGAAAUCUAAC